UUACUCUGUUGCCCAAGCUGGAGUGCAGUGGUGUGAUCAUGGCUCACUGCAGCCUUGACCUUCCAGGCUCAAACGAUCCUCCCACCUCAGCCUCCCGAGUAGCUGGAACUACAGGCACCUGCCACCACGCCCAGGUUCAAGGAGAAUACCUGGCACAUAGCAGACUUCCAGUAAAUACUUGAAAUACAAAUAUGGGUCAUCAAAAAAGGUUGCCGGGAGUGAAGAGCUCCAGAUCAAAUCUAUUAUACAGAAGGCG